rnacentral:rRNA from 1 species
UGGGGAAUAUUGCACAAUGGGCGAAAGCCUGAUGCAGCAACGCCGCGUGGAGGAUGAAGGCCUUAGGGUUGUAAACUCUUGUCUUCUGGGACGAUAAUGACGGUACCAGAGGAGGAAGCCACGGCUAACUACGUGCCAGCAGCCGCGGUAAUACGUAGGUGGCAAGCGUUGUCCGGAUUUACUGGGCGUAAAGGAUGCGUAGGCGGAUAUUUAAGUGGGAUGUGAAAUACCCGGGCUCAACCUGGGUGCUGCAUUCCAAACUGGAUAUCUGGAGUGCGGGAGAGGAAAGUGGAAUUCCUAGUGUAGCGGUGAAAUGCGUAGAGAUUAGGAAGAACACCAGUGGCGAAGGCGACUUUCUGGACCGUAACUGACGCUGAGGCAUGAAAGCGUGGGGAGCAAACA